rnacentral:lncRNA from 1 species
UUAAAUGUACAAUAACCACUGUAAUGUGUAAUUUACUUAUUAGACUAAAUAAAUAUUUAUACUCUUGUUUUGCAGACUUUGACUACAGGAAGGAUGGAGUUAGAGGUUGGUGUUACACAUACCCAUCAGCUGAACUGCAGCCCAAUGAAAUGGUAAGUACCGUGAGACAUUCCAGCAUCAUGAAGUUUGUCUGUCCUUAACUGGAGUGAAAAGCUGGAA